GAAUUUGAUGUUUAACGCUCGUCCCCGGACGAGCCUUACGGAAG
rfam:Pantoea sp. PSNIH1, complete genome.